AUACGGAGGGUGCAAGCGUUAUUCGGAAUCACAGGGCGUAAAGGACGCGUAGGCGGGUUGGCAAGUCAGAUGUGAAAUCCUACAGCUUAACUGUAGAACUGCAUUUGAAACUGCUAACCUAGAGUAUGGGAGGGGGAGAUGGAAUUAGUGGUGUAGGGGUAAAAUCCGUAGAUAUCACUAGGAAUACCGAAAGCGAAGGCGAUCUCCUGGAACAUAACUGACGCUAAGGCGUGAAAGCGUGGGGAGCAAACAGGAUUAGAAACCCGUGUAGUCC
rnacentral:rRNA from 1 species